rnacentral:rRNA from 1 species
UACAGAGGUCUCAAGCGUUGUUCGGAUUCAUUGGGCGUAAAGGGUGCGUAGGCGGCGCGGUAAGUCGGGUGUGAAAUCUUGGAGCUUAACUCCGAAACUGCAUUCGAUACUGCCGUGCUUGAGGACUGGAGAGGAGACUGGAAUUUACGGUGUAGCGGUGAAAAUGCGUAGAUAUCGUAAGGAAGACCAGUGGCGAAGGCGGGUCUCUGGACA